rnacentral:rRNA from 1 species
AUUGAACGCUGGCGGCAUGCCUUACACAUGCAAGUCGAACGGUAACAGGUCUUCGGAUGCUGACGAGUGGCGAACGGGUGAGUAAUACAUCGGAACGUGCCUAGUAGUGGGGGAUAACUACUCGAAAGAGUGGCUAAUACCGCAUGAGAUCUACGGAUGAAAGCAGGGGAUCGCAAGACCUUGUGCUACUAGAGCGGCCGAUGGCAGCUUAGGUAGUUGGUGGGAUAAAAGCUUACCAAGCCGACGAUCUGUAGCUGGUCUGGGAGGACGAUAAGCCAGACUGGGACUGAGACAAGGCCAAGACGCCUGCGGGAGGCAGCAGUGGGGAAUUUUGGACAAUGGGCGCGAGCCUGAUCCAGCAAUGCCGCGUGCAGGAUGAAGGCCUUCGGGUUGUAAACUGCUUUUGUACGGAACGAAAAGCCCCGGGUUAAUACCCUGGGGUCAUGACGGUACCGUAAGAAUAAGCACCGGCUAACUACGUGCCAGCCGCCGCCGUAA